GACGAACGCUGGCGGCGUGCUUAACACAUGCAAGUCGAACGCUGAAGCCCAGCUUGCUGGGUGGAUGAGUGGCGAACGGGUGAGUAACACGUGAGUAACCUGCCCCCUUCUUUGGGAUAACGCCCGGAAACGGGUGCUAAUACUGGAUAUUCACUGGCCUUCGCAUGGGGGUUGGUGGAAAGGUUUUUUCUGGUGGGGGAUGGGCUCGCGGCCUAUCAGCUUGUUGGUGGGGUGAUGGCCUACCAAGGCUUUGACGGGUAGCCGGCCUGAGAGGGUGACCGGUCACAUUGGGACUGAGAUACGGCCCAGACUCCUACGGGAGGCAGCAGUGGGGAAUAUUGCACAAUGGGCGAAAGCCUGAUGCAGCGACGCCGCGUGAGGGAUGACGGCCUUCGGGUUGUAAACCUCUUUCGCUCAUGGUCAAGCCGCAGCUUUGGGUUGUGGUGAGGGUAGUGGGUAAAGAAGCGCCGGCUAACUACGUGCCAGCAGCCGCGGUAAUACGUAGGGCGCGAGCGUUGUCCGGAAUUAUUGGGCGUAAAGGGCUUGUAGGCGGUUGGUCGCGUCUGCCGUGAAAUCCUCUGGCUUAACUGGGGGCGUGCGGUGGGUACGGGCUGACUUGAGUGCGGUAGGGGAGACUGGAACUCCUGGUGUAGCGGUGGAAUGCGCAGAUAUCAGGAAGAACACCGGUGGCGAAGGCGGGUCUCUGGGCCGUUACUGACGCUGAGGAGCGAAAGCGUGGGGAGCGGACAGG
rnacentral:rRNA from 1 species